CACUUGUGUCGGCGUGCGCGCAGCUGUGAAAUUUGACCUGGUCCUAGCAGGAAAGAAAAAUUAAGUAGAGGGCAUGGCGUCAUAUUGGUGAAGCCACAGCAUCGAAAAGCUCCUCGCGGAGAAGCAGAUAAACACUUCGUGAUUUCCGGCGAGCAGCGCCGCAGCCAUCUCAGAGGCCUUGGAAGCAGCGCCGGCGGAGUGGGCGCAGAUUGUGUGCAGGCAGUGGGCUCCGGUAGAUCUUCCGGAAUAUCCAGCCGGGAGGAUUUGGCCCCGGGGACACCAAAAGGCGACACUCAUGUUGUCUGUGAGAAGAUGCGUACAUAUACGGGAGGUGAUGCUUUGCCAUCCGUGGUUGCAUUGCGUGCACGAAAGAUGGGAAUUGACUACAGAGAGCUAUCAACCGAAACUGUGCACAUUCCUCGGGACAUCAAAGUAUUUAAAAAUGGCUGCAACAUCGAGCUGGCGCUUGCCAAAAAUCAAGGCGCCAUUGCUUUGCCGGGUACCGCCGAAGACUCACAUCAUCUCAAGGAAUGGGAGACUUUCACGAGGGCGCUUCUGAUCUUUCAUUCUUGCAUUUCUGACCUGACUCUUCGCAUAUCGGCGGUCAGACGGUCACCUGGGCUCUUCUACCAGAGCAGUCACUUUGCGAAGUGGGAAAGCACGGAUCGAUGUUGAAGUGUCCGCAUAUACAGCACCGUACAGAGAUUUUAUGCUUCCCUUCGUGUGUCACCUGUUUAGGUUGAGGAAUCCCGAUGAGACGGAAAUACAGACUUAUAAUCUCCCUGAUUACGAUGAUAUGGACCUUCGUGAGCACAUUUGCCCAGAACAUCUCAUACAGAAUGAUUCACCACGACUCAACGAUAGCAGGAUCGUCAGAAUAAUUGAAGUCGCCAUAAGUAUACCCUCUCUAUUUGAGUUCUGAGUAGCAGUCGACAACACCAUUAGUGUACCUGAUGACUUACCCGAUAUUGGAGCUUUUGUGACUUCUAGUGGUUCCAGUGAACUUCGGAGGCUGAGAUACGACGUGGACGUGGACUGCGCACCUUUGCUACAAUGCGCUUAUCUGCAAGGAACUACUUGUGGUCAACAUCUUGACACAUCCUUGUUGCCUAAGUUAUGCGCUCGUGGUGAAUUAACUGGUUCUAAGCGUGACUUGAUGCCAUUUUCAGUUGAAAUUGGAAAUUCAAAUUACAUUAGUAGUUCAUUAUACAUUUCCCUCAGGCGAGAUGGCGAUCCCAGUGACUGACGUGGCCCAAAAAAGAUGAAUAUCAGCAAUAUGCAUUGCAGUAUAGUACAUCAUCUCUAUAUAAUACUUCAUAUUCCCAGACCGGUACGACACAAAGCUACAAAAGUUCCAAAAUAUGUGAUUUUUCUGGGCACGUAUGUUUUUAGGGUGCGUUUUUUAGUCUUUCAAGGGACGUUUUACGAACAGAAUUAAGCCGACGUUUACGUUUGUUUUUUAUUAACAUAUGUAGUUGAUGAUUAUGUUUUUUGUAGACAAAUUUGUAUUCUUCAAUUACAUAUGUUGUCAAUGAUAAAGAAACGUAAGUGCCGGGAUGACUGUGUUCCUAAAACGUGCCUCUAAAGACAAGAACGCGCCCUAAACAGAGGCAUGCCCAGAAAAGUCACAUAUUUUGCAACUUUUGCAGCUUCUUGUCGCAUCAGUCUCGAAUUAUGAAGUAUUUUAUAGAGAUGAGGAACUAUAUAUACUGCAAUGCAUAUUACUAAUAUUCAUAAAAGUGCCGUCGUUACUGUUUGUGCUGCAAGUGCGUGCUUUAAAAACUACACUUGAAUCGCAAAGUAUAGGGCUGAAUUUAUCGCUUCAUAGCUUUGGGUGCCGUAUACUGUUACCGAACACAAUACUCGCCUGCCAUUCUGUGUCUUGUUUGUGUGUUUACCCUAAAACUAUUGAAAACUUUCAAGGCACCUAGUCAUUUUCUUUGUUAAUCUUGGUUAUUAAAUGUUAUUCAUUCUCAGUUAUAAAGACACUUUUCACGUUAUAAAGUCUGUUGUAAGUAAUUUGCUCUGCUUACGUUUUAGGUGAAAUAAUUGUCAGUUUACUAGCCAAAACACAAAUCACAGUGGAGGGACUUCUUAUUGCAGCAAGCAUAACCACUGGACAGAUGCAUGUUGUCAGUCCAGCCAUAGUUUGGUGCACUUAUCUCCUCUUUGCAUAGCUUCUUGGAUGGUUGCUGCUCUUAAGGAUGUGCUACAAACUCACCCAGAUCACAUCUUCACUGUAGUUUAUCCGAGUUGUCACAGCGAUGAUUCAUAAUAAACAUUUGCCUUUGCCACGAAA